AGCGAACGCUGGCGGCAGGCCUAACACAUGCAAGUCGAACGGAUCCUUCGGGAUUAGUGGCGGACGGGUGAGUAACACGUGGGAACGUGCCCUUUGGUUCGGAACAACUCAGGGAAACUUGAGCUAAUACCGGAUGUGCCCUUCGGGGGAAAGAUUUAUCGCCAUUGGAGCGGCCCGCGUCUGAUUAGCUAGUUGGUGAGGUAAAGGCUCACCAAGGCGACGAUCAGUAGCUGGUCUGAGAGGAUGAUCAGCCACAUUGGGACUGAGACACGGCCCAAACUCCUACGGGAGGCAGCAGUGGGGAAUCUUGCGCAAUGGGCGAAAGCCUGACGCAGCCACGCCGCGUGAAUGAUGAAGGUCUUAGGAUUGUAAAAUUCUUUCACCGGGGACGAUAAUGACGGUACCCGGAGAAGAAGCCCCGGCUAACUUCGUGCCAGCCGCCGCCGUAAUAC
rnacentral:rRNA from 1 species